GGCACGAUGGCCGAGCGGUCUAAAGCGCCAGACUGGAGAUCUGGUCCUCGCGGGCGUGGGUUCGAAUCAUAUAGAGCUU